rnacentral:rRNA from 1 species
GAUGAACGCUGGCGGCGUGCCUAAUACAUGCAAGUCGAGCGAACAGACGAGGAGCUUGCUCCUUUGACGUUAGCGGCGGACGGGUGAGUAACACGUGGGUAACCUACCUAUAAGACUGGGAUAACUUCGGGAAACGGGAGCUAAUACCGGAUAAUAUUUCGAACCGCAUGGUUCGAUAGUGAAAGAUGGCUUUACUAUCACUUAUAGAUGGACCUGCGCCGUAUUAGCUAGUUGGUAAGGUAACGGCUUACCAAGGCAACGAUACGUAGCCGACCUGAGAGGGUGAUCGGCCACACUGGAACUGAGACACGGUCCAGACUCCUACGGGAGGCAGCAGUAGGGAAUCUUCCGCAAUGGGCGAAAGCCUGACGGAGCAACGCCGCGUGAGUGAUGAAGGUCUUCGGAUCGUAAAACUCUGUUAUUAGGGAAGAAUAAACGUGUAAGUAACUGUGCACGUCUUGACGGUACCUAAUCAGAAAGCCACGGCUAACUACGUG